AGGGGGGAUUCAAUUUUCCGAGAUUUGGUGAAGGUAAGCAUACUCAAUUUAUGCUUCUUUCAUCUUUCAUCCUCAUCUUAAGAGAGAGUUUUCGAUUUGGAGAGGAUCACGUGUUGUAUUUCUCUCACCUCAAAUCCCUAACCACCGCCAAACCCAUCGGAUUUUAUCCCGCGGCCAUUGCGAGACCAGCUGGCUUCAAUAUUGAAGUCGAUUGAUCAGUUGGGCUUCUUCUAUCGUUAUCCCUCUCAGAUUCAGCUCCAAAUCAGAAGUUCACCGGCAAUAGAGUCUAUCAAGUGUAGGAGUUGAUGUUGUCGUACUAUAAGGAACGCAGAAUCUUCACUUGGAUGCACAUGCACUCACUGGUUUGAAAAAGCUUCACAUCACCAAGGUAUAAGAGGAAAAAUAUGUUUGGAUACACUUGUAUCCUAAACACGAUCCGAAUAAAGUAAUACCGGGUCAAUAAAGAUCCGCGUGUUUUUGUUCAGUUAGUUUACCUCUUUGCCCUUGAUUUGGUUUUUCUUUUCUCUUUGCUUUUUGUUUUCGUAGGGGUAUGUAAUGGAAUUUUUGUAAAGUUUUUUUUUUUCUGGCUUUUGUUUUCGUAGGGAUAGGAUAACAUGCGUGCUAGCUAAACGCUGAGACAAACAUGAUUUUCUAGUUUAAAAAAGAUUGAUUCAAAUGUUUUGUUCUUUCUUCUUAA